rnacentral:rRNA from 1 species
AUUGAACGCUGGCGGCAGGCCUAACACCUGCAAGUCGAACGAGCGGCGGACGGUUGAGUAAUGUAUGGGAAUCUGCCCGAUGGAGGGGGCUAACUACUGGAAACGGUCGCUAAUACCGCAUACUAUCGGAUGAACCCAUAUGGGAUUAGCUAGUAGGUGGGGUAAAGUCUCACCUAGGCGACGAUCUCUCGCUGGUCUGAGAGGAUGAUCAGCCACACUGGGACUGAGACACGGCCCAGACUCCUACGGGAGGCAGCAGUGGGGAAUAUUGCACAAGGGGCGCAAGCCUGAUGCAGCCAUGCCGCGUGUAUGAAGAAGGCCUUAGGGUUGUAAAGUACUUUCAGCGGGGAGGCGUUACCCGCAGAAGAAGCACCGGCUAACUCCGUGCCAGCCGCCGCGGUAAUUC